UUGGAAAUCCCUCCUUCAGGUCUGCAGAAAAAGGCAUCCACUUAUUUUUCACAAGUUGUCGGGAAACUACAGUCGUUUGCUGUGUUAUGAUCAAAAGUCUGGAAAGAGAAAUGUAAAAAUGUUCUCCAUUAUUUUUCGAAAGUGCUGCGAGACCGAUUUUCUAGAGAGGUUGACGCGCAUCGGACACCUUCUGUGUCUCGCUGGCUUGCGGACAGUAGUCGAAUUAAACCAACUUGGAUCCCUGUGGACCUGCCUCGAAGAGGGAUCCUAAUAUCACAUAUCAGUUAGAUGACCAAGUUCAGGGCCUGCACGACUGCUGCAGCACAGCGCCAGAGCUCGCAUCAGUGGAAUACUGUUGGGGAUACAACGGACCACACCCAUAUACUGAUAGACCCUCUGAUUGGAUGUCACAUGGAUGUCUUGACCACUACCAUGGCUUUCAUGCAAAUUGAUGAAGGAGCAAAGAAGCAGCUGUGAGGAGCCUGGAAGGUCCCCCAACUCUGCCCCUCACCUGUGUCACAUCUGCCUGCCAGUGCCGUCAAGGUGCGUCAAUCUUCAACCCUGGCAUCUCUUUACCUGUGGCACUACGCUGCACCUUCCUGGCUAGCACGCUUCUAUCCUCCCCCAUCCCUCCCACCUCUUGUCCCUCAAGGCAUCUGUCACUCACCUGUCAUUUCUCUCAUCAACUCCUGCCUCCGUCCUACCUUCUUGAAUUGGGCCUCGGCAAAGGCGGGGAGGGAACCAUUGGAGCGAAAAUGGUGACCACUUUGCCCCGGUACCAGGUUUAGCUGCUGUGAAAGAUGACACAUUAGGGGGGUGUUGACUGAAAUCUCAUUAAAGUAGGUUUCUCUAUGGAGGCACAGGAGUUUGGAGAAUGUAUCUAUUAACUAUUUAACACACUUGACUAAUAAGACAUUUUCAAUCUGUAACAACAAAUUCAUAGGUUUGUUUUGCAUGAUUAUAUCUAGUAUGAUAGAACCCUAAAGAUAAAGUAAUAUGAAGUCUACACUGAUGUUCUUUAGACUGUCCUGUAUUGUAUAUAAGUUAUAGUAUAGUAUAACUCCUGCACCAGUGUUACCAAGACAUAUCAAUACAUUUAUUGUACUUGCCAAUGAUAACGAUAACGAGAAAUCAGUGAGAUGCGCUUGAAAGUUUAAGAAAAAGCUAGAUCCUUAAG